UCAUUAGGCACCAUUAAAUCCUGAUAACUCACUCCAGCAUUAGAUCUACACAUCCAUGGCUCCAUUUGCAUCACCAUAUCCAGAACUCCACCGUCGCUCCAGCUCUCAAUUAACGGCGCGGAAGGCUCAUCCAAUUUCUUCUCCUCAAGAUCGAAUCCCCAGAUUAAGGCGAGCUCCAAAGCCGAGGGACAUCCAGUGAACCCUUCAACUGGAGUACGAUCGUGGGAGACGGAAACAAAGCAACUACCGUGGGCGUCGAAAUCGCACUCCUGGCAGAGCACCAAAUUGUCAGUGGCGCAACGGACAGAAACGGGCUCAGAAGUGCAGUUAUCGCAGAUCUGGGAACGGAGAUGCUUCCGCGAGAGCAGGUUAGCAGAGUGCACGUGCUGGUCACAGAAAAGACAGAGCUUGGCGGAGUCGGCUCUGCAGUAGAGAACCGCAACCUGGUCGCUGCAGAAAUCACAGGGAACGCUCUGUUUAGUCUCCGAUUUGGGGCUCUCCAUGUUCGCUUUAGCUUGAAAAACCCUAGAAAGGAAGAGGAAGGUUAUAGCAUACGAGAAGGCGGAGAGUGUUUUGUUUGCUGAGGGACGUGGGAGUGAAGCCGGAGAGACAUUU
rnacentral:misc_RNA from 1 species